rnacentral:rRNA from 1 species
UACGAAGGGGGCUAGCGUUGCUCGGAAUCACUGGGCGUAAAGCGCACGUAGGCGGCUUCUUAAGUCAGGGGUGAAAUCCUGGAGCUCAACUCCAGAACUGCCUUUGAUACUGAGAAGCUUGAGUCCGGGAGAGGUGAGUGGAACUGCGAGUGUAGAGGUGAAAUUCGUAGAUAUUCGCAAGAACACCAGUGGCGGAGGCGGCUCACUGGCCCGGUACUGACGCUGAGGUGCGAAAGCUAGGGGAGCAAACGGG